CCUCGGGACGCAGCAGUGGGGAAUAUUGCACAAUGGGCGCAAGCCUGAUGCAGCCAUGCCGCGUGUAUGAAGAAGGCCUUCGGGUUGUAAAGUACUUUCAGCGGGGAGGAAGGUGUUGUGGUUAAUAACCACAGCAAUUGACGUUACCCGCAGAAGAAGCACCGGCUAACUCCGUGCCAGCAGCCGCGGUAAUACGGAGGGUGCAAGCGUUAAUCGGAAUUACUGGGCGUAAAGCGCACGCAGGCGGUCUGACAAGUCGGAUGUGAAAUCCCCGGGCUCAACCUGGGAACUGCAUUCGAAACUGGCAGGCUAGAGUCUUGUAGAGGGGGGUAGAAUUCCAGGUGUAGCGGUGAAAUGCGUAGAGAUCUGGAGGAAUACCGGUGGCGAAGGCGGCCCCCUGGACAAAGACUGACGCUAAGGUGCGAAAGCGCGGGGAGCAAACAGGAUUAGAUACCCCUGUAGUC
rnacentral:rRNA from 1 species